GACGAACGCUGGCGGCGCGCCUAACACAUGCAAGUCGAACGAGCGAGAGAGAGCUUGCUUUCUUGAGCGAGUGGCGAACGGGUGAGUAACGCGUGAGGAACCUGCCUCAAAGAGGGGGACAACAGUUGGAAACGACUGCUAAUACCGCAUAAGCCCACGGUGCCGCAUGGCACAGAGGGAAAAGGAGCAAUCCGCUUUGAGAUGGCCUCGCGUCCGAUUAGCUAGUCGGUGAGGUAACGGCCCACCAAGGCGACGAUCGGUAGCCGGACUGAGAGGUUGAACGGCCACAUUGGGACUGAGACACGGCCCAGACUCCUACGGGAGGCAGCAGUGGGGAAUAUUGCACAAUGGGGGAAACCCUGAUGCAGCGACGCCGCGUGGAGGAAGAAGGUCUUCGGAUUGUAAACUCCUGUUGUUGGGGAAGAUAAUGACGGUACCCAACAAGGAAGUGACGGCUAACUACGUG
rnacentral:rRNA from 1 species